UCUCAUGGAAAAGCAAAAAGAGUGGUUUCUUGGGAUGGAAUCUACUCCUAGUGAAGAUGCUGUGAA
rnacentral:pre_miRNA from 2 species